rnacentral:rRNA from 2 species
UUAUAGGUGCUUGCACUUGAAAGAUUUAACAUUGAGACGAGUGGCGAACUGGUGAGUAACACGUGGGUAACCUGCCCUUGAAGUAGGGGAUAACACUUGGAAACAGGUGCUAAUACCGUAUAACAACCAAAACCACCUGGUUUUGGUUUAAAAGACGGCUUCGGCUGUCACUUUAGGAUGGACCCGCGGCGUAUUAGCUUGUUGGUAAGGUAACGGCCUACCAAGGCGAUGAUACGUAGCCGACCUGAGAGGGUAAUCGGCCACAUUGGGACUGAGACACGGCCCAAACUCCUACGGGAGGCAGCAGUAGGGAAUCUUCCACAAUGGACGAAAGUCUGAUGGAGCAACGCCGCGUGAGUGAUGAAGGGUUUCGGCUCGUAAAACUCUGUUGUUGGAGAAGAACAGGUGUCAGAGUAACUGUUGACAUCUUGACGGUAUCCAACCAGAAAGCCACGGCUAACUACGUGCCAGCAGCCGCGGUAAUACGUAGGUGGCAAGCGUUGUCCGGAUUUAUUGGGCGUAAAGCGAGCGCAGGCGGUUUUUUAGGUCUGAUGUGAAAGCCUUCGGCUUAACCGGAGAAGUGCAUCGGAAACCGGGAGACUUGAGUGCAGAAGAGGACAGUGGAACUCCAUGUGUAGCGGUGAAAUGCGUAGAUAUAUGGAAGAACACCAGUGGCGAAGGCGGCUGUCUGGUCUGUAACUGACGCUGAGGCUCGAAAGCAUGGGUAGCGAACA